UGGGGAAUAUUGCGCAAUGGGCGAAAGCCUGACGCAGCAACGCCGUGUGAGGGAUGAAGGCUUUCGGGUCGUAAACCUCUGUCGGAAGGGGAGAACGGGCAUUGGUCUAAUAGGCCUUUGUUUUGACGGUACCUUUAGAGGAAGCACCGGCUAACUCCGUGCCAGCAGCCGCGGUAAUACGGAGGGUGCAAGCGUUAUUCGGAAUUACUGGGCGUAAAGCGCACGUAGGCGGCCUUGUAAGUCAGGGGUGAAAUCCCACGGCUCAACCGUGGAACUGCCUUUGAAACUGCAGGGCUUGAAUCCUGGAGAGGGUGGCGGAAUUCCUGGUGUAGGAGUGAAAUCCGUAGAUAUCAGGAGGAACACCGGUGGCGAAGGCGGCCACCUGGACAGGUAUUGACGCUGAGGUGCGAAAGUGUGGGGAGCAAACAGGAUUAGAUACCCCCGUAGUCC
rnacentral:rRNA from 1 species